GAACGGGAAACAUUUCAUUGAGGCUUUGGCGGAUUUGGUCUGUUUCUAGUGGCGGACGGGUGAGUAACGCGUGGGUAACCUGCCUUAUACUGGGGGAUAACAGCCAGAAAUGACUGCUAAUACCGCAUAAGCGCACAGAACCGCAUGGUUCGGUGUGAAAAACUCCGGUGGUAUAAGAUGGACCCGCGUUGGAUUAGCUAGUUGGCAGGGCAGCGGCCUACCAAGGCGACGAUCCAUAGCCGGCCUGAGAGGGUGAACGGCCACAUUGGGACUGAGACACGGCCCAGACUCCUACGGGAGGCAGCAGUGGGGAAUAUUGCACAAUGGGGGAAACCCUGAUGCAGCGACGCCGCGUGAAGGAAGAAGUAUCUCGGUAUGUAAACUUCUAUCAGCAGGGAAGAUAAUGACGGUACCUGACUAAGAAGCCCCGGCUAACUACGUGCCAGCAGCCGCGGUAAUACGUAGGGGGCAAGCGUUAUCCGGAUUUACUGGGUGUAAAGGGAGCGUAGACGGCGCAGCAAGUCUGAUGUGAAAGGCAGGGGCUUAACCCCUGGACUGCAUUGGAAACUGCUGUGCUUGAGUGCCGGAGGGGUAAGCGGAAUUCCUAGUGUAGCGGUGAAAUGCGUAGAUAUUAGGAGGAACACCAGUGGCGAAGGCGGCUUACUG
rnacentral:rRNA from 1 species